rnacentral:rRNA from 1 species
GCGGUGCGCCUUAUGCAUGCAAGUUGAGCGAAGCUUUUUGGUAGUUUACUACUAGAAAUGACUGAGCGGCGAACGGGUGAGUAACGCGUGAGCAAUCUACCUUAGUUACUGGGAUAGCCCGAGGAAACUCGGAUUAAUACCGGAUAUUCUUAUUUUUUCACAUGAAGUUUUAAGGAAAGGUCAGCCGAACUAAGAUGAGCUCGCGUUCUAUCAGCUAGUUGGUGGGGUAAAAGCCUACCAAGGCUACGACGGAUAGCUGGUCUGAGAGGACGAUCAGCCACACUGGGACUGAGACACGGCCCAGACUCCUACGGGAGGCUGCAGCAGGGAAUAUUGUGCAAUGAGCGAAAGCUUGACACAGCGACACCGCGUGUGGGAUGACGGUUCUAGGAUUGUAAACCACUUUCAGGAGGGAAGAAAAUGACGGUACCUCCACAAGAAGACCCGGC